CCUACGGGCGGCAGCAGUGGGGAAUAUUGCGCAAUGGGCGAAAGCCUGACGCAGCGACGCCGCGUGAGGGAUGAAGGUCUUCGGAUCGUAAACCUCUGUCAGCAGGGAAGAACGGUCACUGUGCUAAUCAGCAGUGAAUUGACGGUACCUGCAAAGGAAGCACCGGCUAACUCCGUGCCAGCAGCCGCGGUAAUACGGAGGGUGCGAGCGUUAAUCGGAAUUACUGGGCGUAAAGCGCUCGUAGGCGGUAUGUCAAGUCAAGGGUGAAAUCCCCGCGCUCAACGUGGGAACGGACUUUGAAACUGGCAAAUGGUAGGAUGUGAGGGGAUAGUGGAAUUCCAGGUGUAGGAGAGAAAUCCGUAGAUAUCUGGAGGAACAUGAGGGGCGAAGGCGAGUAAAUGGCAAAUAACUGACGCUGAGGAGCGAAGGCGUGGGUAGCGAACAGGAUUAGAUACCCUGGUAGUA
rnacentral:rRNA from 1 species